UAAAAAAUAGUUUAAUAAAAACAUUAAUUCUGGAGAUUAAAAUUAUAAUAAAAUUAUUUUUUUAU
rnacentral:tRNA from 1 species